rnacentral:rRNA from 1 species
CCUACGGGUGGCAGCAGUGGGGAAUCUUCCGCAAUGGGCGCAAGCCUGACGGAGCAACGCCGCGUGAGUGAAGAAGGUCUUCGGAUCGUAAAGCUCUGUUGAUGGGGACGAACGUGCGUGAUGCGAAUAGUGUCAUGCAAUGACGGUACCUAUCGAGGAAGCCACGGCUAACUACGUGCCAGCAGCCGCGGUAAUACGUAGGUGGCGAGCGUUGUCCGGAAUCAUUGGGCGUAAAGGGAGCGCAGGCGGGCAUGUAAGUCUUUCUUAAAAGUUCGGGGCUCAACCCCGUGAUGGGAAAGAAACUAUGUGUCUUGAGUACAGGAGAGGAAAGCGGAAUUCCCAGUGUAGCGGUGAAAUGCGUAGAUAUUGGGAGGAACACCAGUGGCGAAGGCGGCUUUCUGGACUGCAACUGACGCUGAGGCUCGAAAGCCAGGGGAGCGAACGGGAUUAGAUACCCCAGUAGUC